rnacentral:rRNA from 1 species
GGUUAAGCGACUAAGCGUACACGGUGGAUGCCCUGGCAGUCAGAGGCGAUGAAGGACGUGCUAAUCUGCGAUAAGCGUCGGUAAGGUGAUAUGAACCGUUAUAACCGGCGAUUUCCGAAUGGGGAAACCCAGUGUGAUUCGUCACACUAUCAUUAACUGAAUCCAUAGGUUAAUGAGGCGAACCGGGGGAACUGAAACAUCUAAGUACCCCGAGGAAAAGAAAUCAACCGAGAUUCCCCCAGUAGCGGCGAGCGAACGGGGAGGAGCCCAGAGCCUGAAUCAGUGUGUGUGUUAGUGGAAGCGUCUGGAAAGGCGCGCGAUACAGGGUGACAGCCCCGUACACAAAAAUGCACAUGCUGUGAGCUCGAUGAGUAGGGCGGGACACGUGGUAUCCUGUCUGAAUAUGGGGGGACCAUCCUCCAAGGCUAAAUACUCCUGACUGACCGAUAGUGAACCAGUACCGUGAGGGAAAGGCGAAAAGAACCCCGGCGAGGGGAGUGAAAAAGAACCUGAAACCGUGUACGUACAAGCAGUGGGAGCACGCUUAGGCGUGUGACUGCGUACCUUUUGUAUAAUGGGUCAGCGACUUAUAUUCUGUAGCAAGGUUAACCGAAUAGGGGAGCCGAAGGGAAACCGAGUCUUAACUGGGCGUUAAGUUGCAGGGUAUAGACCCGAAACCCGGUGAUCUAGCCAUGGGCAGGUUGAAGGUUGGGUAACACUAACUGGAGGACCGAACCGACUAAUGUUGAAAAAUUAGCGGAUGACUUGUGGCUGGGGGUGAAAGGCCAAUCAAACCGGGAGAUAGCUGGUUCUCCCCGAAAGCUAUUUAGGUAGCGCCUCGUGAAUUCAUCUCCGGGGGUAGAGCACUGUUUCGGCAAGGGGGUCAUCCCGACUUACCAACCCGAUGCAAACUGCGAAUACCGGAGAAUGUUAUCACGGGAGACACACGGCGGGUGCUAACGUCCGUCGUGAAGAGGGAAACAACCCAGACCGCCAGCUAAGGUCCCAAAGUCAUGGUUAAGUGGGAAACGAUGUGGGAAGGCCCAGACAGCCAGGAUGUUGGCUUAGAAGCAGCCAUCAUUUAAAGAAAGCGUAAUAGCUCACUGGUCGAGUCGGCCUGCGCGGAAGAUGUAACGGGGCUAAACCAUGCACCGAAGCUGCGGCAGCGACGCUGAUGCGUUGUUGGGUAGGGGAGCGUUCUGUAAGCCUGCGAAGGUGUGCUGUGAGGCAUGCUGGAGGUAUCAGAAGUGCGAAUGCUGACAUAAGUAACGAUAAAGCGGGUGAAAAGCCCGCUCGCCGGAAGACCAAGGGUUCCUGUCCAACGUUAAUCGGGGCAGGGUGAGUCGACCCCUAAGGCGAGGCCGAAAGGCGUAGUCGAUGGGAAACAGGUUAAUAUUCCUGUACUUGGUGUUACUGCGAAGGGGGGACGGAGAAGGCUAUGUUGGCCGGGCGACGGUUGUCCCGGUUUAAGCGUGUAGGCUGGUUUUCCAGGCAAAUCCGGAAAAUCAAGGCUGAGGCGUGAUGACGAGGCACUACGGUGCUGAAGCAACAAAUGCCCUGCUUCCAGGAAAAGCCUCUAAGCAUCAGGUAACAUCAAAUCGUACCCCAAACCGACACAGGUGGUCAGGUAGAGAAUACCAAGGCGCUUGAGAGAACUCGGGUGAAGGAACUAGGCAAAAUGGUGCCGUAACUUCGGGAGAAGGCACGCUGAUAUGUAGGUGAAGUCCCUCGCGGAUGGAGCUGAAAUCAGUCGAAGAUACCAGCUGGCUGCAACUGUUUAUUAAAAACACAGCACUGUGCAAACACGAAAGUGGACGUAUACGGUGUGACGCCUGCCCGGUGCCGGAAGGUUAAUUGAUGGGGUCAGCGCAAGCGAAGCUCUUGAUCGAAGCCCCGGUAAACGGCGGCCGUAACUAUAACGGUCCUAAGGUAGCGAAAUUCCUUGUCGGGUAAGUUCCGACCUGCACGAAUGGCGUAAUGAUGGCCAGGCUGUCUCCACCCGAGACUCAGUGAAAUUGAACUCGCUGUGAAGAUGCAGUGUACCCGCGGCAAGACGGAAAGACCCCGUGAACCUUUACUAUAGCUUGACACUGAACAUUGAGCCUUGAUGUGUAGGAUAGGUGGGAGGCUUUGAAGUGUGGACGCCAGUCUGCAUGGAGCCGACCUUGAAAUACCACCCUUUAAUGUUUGAUGUUCUAACGUUGACCCGUGAUCCGGGUUGCGGACAGUGUCUGGUGGGUAGUUUGACUGGGGCGGUCUCCUCCUAAAGAGUAACGGAGGAGCACGAAGGUUGGCUAAUCCUGGUCGGACAUCAGGAGGUUAGUGCAAUGGCAUAAGCCAGCUUGACUGCGAGCGUGACGGCGCGAGCAGGUGCGAAAGCAGGUCAUAGUGAUCCGGUGGUUCUGAAUGGAAGGGCCAUCGCUCAACGGAUAAAAGGUACUCCGGGGAUAACAGGCUGAUACCGCCCAAGAGUUCAUAUCGACGGCGGUGUUUGGCACCUCGAUGUCGGCUCAUCACAUCCUGGGGCUGAAGUAGGUCCCAAGGGUAUGGCUGUUCGCCAUUUAAAGUGGUACGCGAGCUGGGUUUAGAACGUCGUGAGACAGUUCGGUCCCUAUCUGCCGUGGGCGCUGGAGAACUGAGGGGGGCUGCUCCUAGUACGAGAGGACCGGAGUGGACGCAUCACUGGUGUUCGGGUUGUCAUGCCAAUGGCACUGCCCGGUAGCUAAAUGCGGAAGAGAUAAGUGCUGAAAGCAUCUAAGCACGAAACUUGCCCCGAGAUGAGUUCUCCCUGACUCCUUGAGAGUCCUGAAGGAACGUUGAAGACGACGACGUUGAUAGGCCGGGUGUGUAAGCGCAGCGAUGCGUUGAGCUAACCGGUACUAAUGAACCGUGAGGCUUAACCUU